UACGAGGGGGGCGAGCGUUGUUCGGAAUUAUUGGGCGUAAAGGGUGCGUAGGCGGAUCAGGAAGUGUUUCGUGAAAACCCCCGGCUCAACCGGGGAAUUGCGGGGCAAACUCCUGAUCUUGAGGGAAGUAUGGGCGGACAGAACUAUCGGUGGAGCGGUGAAAUGCGUAGAUAUCGAUAGGAAUGCCGAUGGCGAAGGCGGUCCGCUGGGCUUCUCCUGACGCUCAGGCACGAAAGCGUGGGGAGCAAACAGG
rnacentral:rRNA from 1 species